CCUCCUUGUCUAUGAUAAGGGGCAGAUAGAGGCUCUAAUUAUGUCCUCCUAGUUGGAUAGUGGGCGCCACUAUUUAAUGUCACAUUGACAAUGUCGUCUAUGUGUUUGGUGAGGUUAUUACGUGAUUGAUAAUGAGUUGUCAUCGAAUUCCCUGUUUCUACCAGUUUUCUCCAAGUGAUAUUGUUUAAUAAUCUCGUUAUUGUUAACCGCGAGUUUCCGUUUUAAUCCGCCUUCGGUCCGUGCCAGGCAAAGUCAGCCGAGUCAACCGAUCAGCUGAGCUGUAGUAUCAGUUUACUUUACCCCGAUCAUUAUUUUUGUAUUUUUGUUUUGUUCCUUCGCUUUGCUAAGCCUCCAAACUGGAUCGCAUACCGGACUACCUGCGGGAUACCAUGGACUGGUUCAUAGGAAAAACCAGGCGUAAAGAGAAAGAGGGUGCCGAUUCGUCCUCAUCCACUGAUUCCAAGCUCUACCUGGAAAGUAAAGUGUUGGAGCGCAAGUUGCCUGAGAUGGACCUGAAGAUUCUUGUCGACUUGCCGGCUGGUUUAGACUAUAAUGAGUGGCUGGCAUCGCACACAAUGUCUCUCUUCGAUCACGUCAAUCUAGUCUAUGGAGCAAUUAGUGAAUUCUGUACAGCGACCAGUUGCCCGGACAUGACAGGACCAGGGCAAAGGACCUACUUGUGGUUCGAUGAGAAGGGCAAAAAGACCAAAGUGGCCGCUCCCCAGUAUAUUGACUACGUGAUGACUUUCAUUCAGAAGACCAUCAGUGAUGAAACGAUUUUCCCCACCAAAUACGCAAAUGAGUUUCCAGUUUCUUUCGAGUCAAUCGUGCGUAAAAUAGUGCGAUUGCUCUAUCACGUGGUGGCUCAUUUGUACGCGGCCCAUUUCAAAGAGGUGCUACUGCUGGGGCUUCACUCCCACCUCAAUCUCACCUUUGCCCAUUUGAUGGCGUUGCACCAUCGAUUCACCCUGAUCGAUCCCAAAGAAACCGACAUCCUAGAAGAUUUAGAGAUGGCGCUCGGCCUCAACCAGGAAGCGGUAGAGGCCGCCAACAACAAUGAAGAACGGGAUAGAAGCGAGGAUAGUCGAUCUCAGUCCACGGAAGAUACUUGUAAGUUGAUUUGAUAAUGGCUGAUUGAUUGGUAGUAAUUGGGCGGACGAUAGGACAGUUUUUGGUUCCUCGAAACUGGUUGGUACAUGUGGCGACAAUAAAUCCUAGCUGAAUGUAAUUUAAGACAAAGGGAUUUCAAAACCUUUAACCGUAAUUUGAUGUGAUUUAAGUGGGAAACCUAACUACUUUAUAUGUUGUAGAUCGCGAAUGUGAUGUUAAAAGACGCAUAGUGACUGAAUUAUUUUUCUAGUGUAACAUUAUUUAUUUUAUAUAACUAUUUUUAUCUAUUUUAAUGAUACGACGUCUGUUAUUUAAUUUUCUUGUUUUUUUUACUUACACUAACAUUUAGAGAGUUUGCGCGUUGUUUCGUUCUCCAUAAAUUUCAAGACGCGCACUAACUCCCGCUAGUGUUUGUUCCUAUUUUAUCAGAGAAUGCAUGAUACUUAAGUGUUUUAGGUUGUAGACAAUUUGUGGUAAGUCACUGCAUACAGAUACACACUGUAAUGAUAGUGAAGAAAACUCGAAUAUAUCAACUGUUGUUAAUUUGCAAGUUUAUCAGAAGCUUUAUAAGCAAAUAGUUGGUAGACCUUAAUUGUGAACAAGGGUACUUUUUGACUCACCAACUUAACUUCCUGUGGUAUUCCAUCAAGUUUUUUUGUAAAAAAUCACUAAUUUUUCCGAAGAACACAUUUAAAAUACUCCUUCCACUCUUGUCGCAAUGACACUAAACUAACCGACUCUAAUUAACUGUCAAAGACUUUGACAGUCAUAUUGUAGACUAAAUUAAAUUUGUUUUCAAUUAAAAUUCACUUAGUAGGCUUGGAAUGAAUCUUCAGCUACUUUUUUGUGCAUAACAAUUUUCUUCUGCUUGUCUUGGUGGGGAAUUGGUCGCAAAAGUUCUGAAAGGAGCGAAAUAACUAAGCCGAAACGUCGCGUUUUUUGUGUACGUACACAGCAGGCGGGCGUGUGCGAAACCAUAGUCAAGUUAGUGGGUCUAGCGCUUAUCUAGUAAAUGCUCUCAACACUUUGCCGCUGCCCUGCAUCUAGAUGGCCUUUAUUGUUAACUGUUCCAAGUCCUCUGCUUCUCCCCCAUUGUGAUGAUCCUUGCCUCCCAUCUACCCGACGACGCAUUUAACUUUUAAAUGUCUGUACAGUGUUGUUCCUCCAGAGUUAGAGCUAACCUAGCAGAAGAUGCUGAAUGUACAUAACUAUUUGUAAAAUGAUUUUAGUUUGUUACUUUAGAAGAUAAUAUUAUGUAAACGCUAUUAGAUAAUAUAGCAAUUGUUGAACAAUAAAUAAAUCCUCAGAUGUU
rnacentral:misc_RNA from 1 species